GACGAACGCUGGCGGCGUGCUUAACACAUGCAAGUCGAACGGAAAGGCCCUGCUUUUGUGGGGUGCUCGAGUGGCGAACGGGUGAGUAACACGUGAGUAACCUGCCCUUGACUUUGGGAUAACUUCAGGAAACUGGGGCUAAUACCGGAUAGGAGCUCCUGCUGCAUGGUGGGCGUUGGAAAGUUUCGGCGGUUGGGGAUGGACUCGCGGCUUAUCAGCUUGUUGGUGAGGUAGUGGCUUACCAAGGCUUUGACGGGUAGCCGGCCUGAGAGGGUGACCGGCCACAUUGGGACUGAGAUACGGCCCAGACUCCUACGGGAGGCAGCAGUGGGGAAUAUUGCACAAUGGGCGGAAGCCUGAUGCAGCAACGCCGCGUGCGGGAUGACGGCCUUCGGGUUGUAAACCGCUUUCGCCUGUGACGAAGCGUGAGUGACGGUAAUGGGUAAAGAAGCACCGGCUAACUACGUG
rnacentral:rRNA from 1 species